GUCCCCGGCGUCCGGGCGCCCUGCAUGGAUCCCCCACCCCAGCUCCUGCUCCCCGGCGGCGGCCGGUGGGCAGAAAGACCGAAACCCACUCACGGCCGCCUGCCGAAUCGCGGCUCUGCUGUUUGUGGGGCGUGCUAGAAACGUGGUCCUAAAAAGAAUGGCGUCCAUUUACAUAAUGCUUUGUUUGCGUUUCGCAAGUUUCUUUCGGUUAAAGCCACAGAAACCCCACCUCCUGCCCUUGUGUCGUUUCCACCGCGGCACCCUUUUCCGACAUUAGAAACAAUAGUGUACGCCUGUGGAGGCCUCGUUUGUUCAGGGGCUGCCGGCCAGGGCUUCAGGACGUUUCUGCGGCUUUCCCCGCGCGGCCUGGGCUCCCGCGGCUGCUUUUCGGGCCCAUGGGCGCAGCCACUGCGCCAGGCUCAAGGGGGGCGGCCCCGUCAGGGCCCGCCAUCUUGGAAGGCCUUUUUUGCCGGUUCUUCCCGCUGAGGAAGUGUCGCUCAAGACGCUGGCCUAUGAGUUGUGAUUUCUGCCUUUUCCCCUUCCUCCUUGGGCUAAGCCAGACCAGAAAGGGCCCCGUGCGCAACGUGCUUCACAAUCUCUCAGGGAAAGCGGCUAACGUGGCGCUACUCCGCCUCCCCUGUUCCUUACCCUUGGGGCGGCCGCCAUGUUUCCUGAACACAAAAUGGCGACACGUGGUUAGCAUUCGUCGCCAACGAGAAAUUGGGGUCGGCCCGAAAGCUCUAGAAUGCACCCCUCUUCCUCCCCGGGGCCUUCCACCUCCGCGAGUUUUAUGACUUAAAAAAGCCCACAGGCUGGUCUGAAGGUCGGAGGCCUAAUUUUAACGCGUUUUCCUCCCUUUAAUUUGAAACGGGAACGCGAAUGACUGUAAAAUGUGGGCACAAUAUUUAAUCUCUCGCCUUUUUAAAGCUUAAUAGUGGAUAAUAGGGGGGCAGUAUCAAGGGAUAAUUUGGGUCCCCACAGUACCAAAGCAUUUAGAAACCUCUGUUUAAUUUAAGGAAUGAGAUAAGUUACUGCUUUUCUAGACUUCCUAGCAUGGGCUGUUGUGCUGGAGAGAACGAGAGCUACGAAGAGACUACAGUGCCUCUGACUUUUUCAUAGGACAGUUGGCCGGUGAAUCUUAUUAAUAGUUUACCACAAUUAAGUGUUCAUUUUUAGUCUAGAAGGGACAGGCGUUUAUUGUGCAUUGGCCAGUGCCAGCACAUCCGAUGCAAGGCAGUUCACCGUAUUCUAUCUUUAAUUUUUACCAUGGUCCUCUGAGGUAGGUGUUCUUAUCUCUCUCUCUCUCUCUCUCUUUUAAACAGAGGAAGACAAACAUAAAGAUGAAGUGCUUAAUUCAAGGUCACACAAUGUCGGGGAUGGACCUCCAGAUUUCCUUACUGACCUGCAUUAUCUUGUGGAUACCUGAGUGAAUUCCACACCACCCAUUUUAUAGAUGAAACCACUGAGACAUGGAGCAAUUGACUGAGUAGUCACUGCCCCACCCCUGCCUGGAGCCUCACACAUGACUCGCCUCCUCUCAGUGACCACAGGUGAGACGUGGUCUUGUAACACAGUGGUUAAGAAUGUGACUUUGGAGCCAGCCUGCUAGGGGCUGAAUUCUGACUCAGCCAUUUACUAACUGUGUGACCUUAGUCUGUCUAGUGACUGGUGUUGUCAUAAGAAGAGAGGGACACAGAGGGAAGAUGGCCACAUGAAGAUGGAGGCAGAGAUUGCAGUUAUGCUGCUGCAAACUAAGGAAUGGCUCUGGCCCUCCAAGGAUUGCUGAUAACCACCAGAAACUAGAAGAGACAAGGAAGGAUUCUUCCCUAGAGCCUUCAGAGGGAGCAUGGCCCUACUGACACCUGGAUUUCAAACUUGUAGCUUCCUAAACUGCAAGAGAAUAAAUUUCUGUUGUUUUAAGCCA
rnacentral:lncRNA from 1 species